rnacentral:tRNA from 1 species
GCCUGGGUGGCUCAGUCGGUUGAGCAUCCGACUUCAGCUAGGGUCAUGAUCUCACAGUUCGUGGGUUCGAGCCCCACGUCGGGCU